rnacentral:rRNA from 1 species
UGGUACCUACGGGACGCAGCAGUGAGGAAUAUUGGUCAAUGGCCGAGAGGCUGAACCAGCCAAGUCGCGUGAGGGAAGACGGCCCUACGGGUUGUAAACCUCUUUUGUCGGGGAGCAAAGCGAACCACGUGUGGUUCAUUGAGAGUACCCGAAGAAAAAGCAUCGGCUAACUCCGUGCCAGCAGCCGCGGUAAUACGGAGGAUGCGAGCGUUAUCCGGAUUUAUUGGGUUUAAAGGGUGCGCAGGCGGAGGUGCAAGUCAGCGGUAAAAUUGAGAGGCUCAACCUCUUCGAGCCGUUGAAACUGG